rnacentral:tRNA from 1 species
GCCCGGAUAGCUCAGUCGGUAGAGCGUUAGGCUUUUAACCUAACGGUCCAGGGUCCAGGGUUCGAGUCCCUGUUCGGGCG